GACCAGGAUCCGUGACGCCCGUUCGGGUGGGCAGUGCCAGUGCGCUGAAGGGCAAGCCUCAGGGGAAGCUUGUGCCUUAUUUAGUAAGAUUAGCUUGACUAAGGGAGCGAAGGGCGUUACACUGCUUUUGGAAGCAGGUGGUGAGGCUGGCGUCGCCAUGUUUUCUAAGGGACUUCCUCAGGAUCAGAUCCAAAAUCCCAAACCAACAGCCACAAGUGGUGCCUAAUCAGGGACGUGAAGGAAGAAGGUCUGCUGGAGCAGAGAAACUGAAACUGACCAGAUGAGCGAGAAACCCCGGGACAAAUCUGCUGGCAGAGGAUAUAAGGGCAAACAAAGAAUAUAACCAUUCUCCAAAGUCAAGGAUGCUCUGAGAACACCAGUAAAAGGAACUCAGGAUAAUCUCAGCUCUAACUCGGCCAGAGUGGCUCCAUCGCUCAAAUCGUUCCCUCCUUCAGUGAUUGGCUGAGCCUGCCAGAGUCGAACAGCGGAAAGCAGCCCCAGGGCCUCUUGCUGCCCCCAG